AACGAACGCUGGCGGCAGGCUUAACACAUGCAAGUCGAGCGGGGUGAUGGUGCUUGCACUAUCACUUAGCGGCGGACGGGUGAGUAAUGCUUAGGAAUCUGCCUAUUAGUGGGGGACAACAUUUCGAAAGGAAUGCUAAUACCGCAUACGUCCUACGGGAGAAAGCAGGGGAUCUUCGGACCUUGCGCUAAUAGAUGAGCCUAAGUCGGAUUAGCUAGUUGGUGGGGUAAAGGCCUACCAAGGCGACGAUCUGUAGCGGGUCUGAGAGGAUGAUCCGCCACACUGGGACUGAGACACGGCCCAGACUCCUACGGGAGGCAGCAGUGGGGAAUAUUGGACAAUGGGCGGAAGCCUGAUCCAGCCAUGCCGCGUGUGUGAAGAAGGCCUUAUGGUUGUAAAGCACUUUAAGCGAGGAGGAGGCUACUUUAGUUAAUACCUAGAGAUAGUGGACGUUACUCGCAGAAUAAGCACCGGCUAACUCUGUGCCAGCCGCCGCAGUAACAC
rnacentral:rRNA from 1 species